GCGAAAGUGGCGGAACUGGCAGACGCGCCGGACUUAGGAUCCGGUGGCUGGAAGGCCAUGGGGGUUCGAGUCCCCCCUUUCGCA
rnacentral:tRNA from 1 species